rnacentral:rRNA from 1 species
ACAGAGCUCCGACCGGAGACGGAAGGAGUGCUUUUAUUAGAUCAAAACCAAUCGGUGGCGGGUUCGCCCGUCAUCGUACAACUUGGUGACUCUGAAUAACUUUCCGCUGAUCGCACGGUCAUCGCACCGGCGACGCAUCUUUCAAAUGUCUGCCUUAUCAACUGUCGAUGGUAGGUUCUGCGCCUACCAUGGUCGUAACGGGUAACGGGGAAUCAGGGUUCGAUUCCGGAGAGGGAGCCUGAGAAACGGCUACCACAUCCAAGGAAGGCAGCAGGCGCGCAAAUUACCCACUCCCGGCACGGGGAGGUAGUGACGAAAAAUAACGAUACGGGRCUCAUCCGAGGCCCCGUAAUCGGAAUGAGUACRCUCUA